AAAAGAAAAUUGUUUUACGAAAUAAAGCCCCUUUUUUUUUUUCUGGGCAGCGUAAAGCGCGUCUUUCUGGCAUCCAGACAGGCCGAAUGUGACAUUUCUGGAGGAGGACGUGACCCAAGCUCUGCAUAUUUUUCCAGGUCUUAUGAAACCAAAUUUGGCUGCCAAAAUCAAACCAAACCCAUCUCCAAAGCCACCUUGAAAGCUCGGCCGGUCAAGCUCCGGGAGGCCUACAAUGGGCGCCAACCCAUCUAUCUCCUUCCACGACCCUCUUCUUCCCUCCAGUGUGCCUCGUUUCCGGAUCUGUGAAUCACAAGCUUCCGGGUAUUCCUCAUUUCCCACAAAACCCUAGCUCCAGUCGUAGCUCGAUACGUAUCGCUUUGUUUUCGUCGCAGUCCUGCUCUCAAGCUCCCAGAUCUUCGGUAUUGUGGAUUAUGUGUAUGCACUUCAGGAGAUGGGGAGAAAAAGAGAAUUGAAAGUCUGGGAUGCAGCUAGGCCGGCUCUUGAGGAAGCCUUUACCGGCAAAGGUGACAUUAAAGCAGCUGACAAAGUGACAAUGUAAUGUUAUGUUGGGGUCUCUGGAAAUUAUGGACAGCAACAAUGAUAGAUUGUGUAAAUGUGAGGGAUUAGUGUUAUGCCAACAGAAUGUAAUAGUAAAUUGUGAUGGAACAUUGUGUUAAA